GAUGAAGAACGUAGUGAAAUGCGAUAAGUAAUGUGAAUUGCAGAAUUCAGUGAAUCAUCGAAUCUUCGAACGCACCUUGCACCCUUUGGUAUUCCGAAGGGUACGCCCGUUUGAGAGUCAUUGUAAUCUCACCCCCAGAGACUUUGUUUCUGGGAGUGGACUUGGACGCUGCCGUUUCGUACGGCUCGUCUCGAAUGUCUCAGUGUGACCCGUUCAUAGGCGUCUACAGUGUGAUAGGUAUCUUCACUGUGUAGUCUCUUUUCCGAGGCGCGCUCUCGGACGUGGGCUCUGCGCUACGAACCGUCUUCGGACAAUCUCUGACAAUUUGACCUCAAAUCGGGUGGGACUACCCGCUGAACUUAAGCAUAUCAAUAAGCGGAGGA
rnacentral:misc_RNA from 1 species